AUUGAACGCUGGCGGCAUGCUUUACACAUGCAAGUCGAACGGCAGCACGGGUGCUUGCACCUGGUGGCGAGUGGCGGACGGGUGAGUAAUGCAUCGGAACGUGUCCUGAAGUGGGGGAUAACGCAUCGAAAGAUGUGCUAAUACCGCAUAUUCUCUGAGGAGGAAAGUAGGGGAUCGAAAGACCUUAUGCUUUUGGAGCGGCCGAUGUCUGAUUAGCUAGUUGGUAGGGUAAUGGCUUACCAAGGCGACGAUCAGUAGUUGGUCUGAGAGGACGACCAGCCACACUGGGACUGAGACACGGCCCAGACUCCUACGGGAGGCAGCAGUGGGGAAUUUUGGACAAUGGGCGCAAGCCUGAUCCAGCAAUGCCGCGUGAGUGAAGAAGGCCUUCGGGUUGUAAAGCUCUUUCAGUUGAGAAGAAAAAGUCGUGACUAAUAAUCAUGAUUCAUGACGGUAUCAACAGAAGAAGCACCGGCUAACUACGUG
rnacentral:rRNA from 1 species